rnacentral:rRNA from 1 species
UACAGAGACCUCAAGCAUUAUCCGGAUUUAUUGGGCGUAAAGAGCGUGUAGGCGGCCUGAAAGGUCAGCUGUGAAAACUCGAGGCUCAACCUCGAGACGUCGGUUGAAACCAUCUGGCUAGAGUCCGGAAGAGGAGUGUGGAAUUCCCGGUGUAGCGGUGAAAUGCGCAGAUAUCGGGAAGAACACCCGUGGCGAAGGCGGCACUCUGGGACGGUACUGACGCUGAGACGCGAAAGCGUGGGGAGCGAACAGG